rnacentral:lncRNA from 1 species
CCGAUGAAGACUGAUCUGAAAUAAUAAUAAAUAAAUUAUUAGUAUGAUCUAAAUAAAAGAAUCAAAUUUUAUUAUUUUAAAAAUAUAAUAAUACACUCACUGGGACCCACCUCACUGGGACUCACCAGUGCAGGACCUUUUGACAGUGGAGCUGGUGUGGCAACGAAGAUCGAUGAAGGCGCCUCAACCUCCAAGAUAGACUGUGAAUACGAACGUCGUUGUCUGUCUCCUAG